rnacentral:rRNA from 1 species
AACCUGGUUGAUCCUGCCAGUAGUCAUAUGCUUGUGUUAAAGAUUAAGCCAUGCAUGCCUAAGAACAAACCAUCUUACGGUGAAUCUACGGACGGCUCAGAAAUUUUGGAGAAUCAGUUUGGUGAUGGAAAAACCAUGAAUUGGAUAACCCUGUUAAUGUAGAGCUAAUACAUGCACAAUCAAGGCCCGAUUGGGAAACCGAAAGGGUCGCACUUGUCCAUCUAUUACCAUCUUUAUCGCCUUGGGCAACACUCUCGAUUGGGGAGAAAUUAUUGGAGAAAACCGGUCAAAUAAAACUGGGGAGGAAGCCAAAGACUGAAAAGUUAAAGCGAAGACCUCGGUGGAGUUGAUCGGGCAACCAUCACAAUCGUUGCUCCAAAUUCUCGGUCGGCGGCAAUGUCGGCAACCGGUUGAGGGGUCCAAGGUAAAGAGGAAUCAAGACAAUUCAAGGCAGAUCGCACAGCCCUUGUGGCAGGCGACACACCAUUCGACUCCAAAACCUAUCAACUGAGAUGGUAGGGUCGUGGCCUACCAUGGUGAUAACGGGUAACGGGGAAUCAGGGCUCGAUUCCGGAGAGGGGGCGCGAGAAUUGGCCACCACUUCCAAGGAAGGCAGCAGGCGCGUAAAUUACUCCCUGGAGAUACUCCGAGGUAGUGACGACAAAUAUCAAUGCAGCCCCACAUGGGGUUGGUAAUUGAAAUGAGCUAAAUUUAAAUCCCUUUUGCAAGUAACAAUUGGAGGGCAAGUCUGGUGCCAGCAGCCGCGGUAAUUCCAGCUCCAAGAGUGUAUACUAAAGCUGUUGCGGUUAAAACGCUCGUAGUUUGAAUCCAACAUCUGGACAAAAUUGGCCAUCGCAGGACGGUCUCGGUAGCAAUAUCGGGGCUGACACCGCGACGGUCAACCAGAAAAGAAUCCAAACCAUUAAUCAUUUCUUUGGUCGAUUGAUGUCCACACUUUACUGUGCGGCACGUUAACCUCCAUGAGAACCUUCGGACUGAAGAAGGACGAAGAGAUCAAAGAAUUAACCAACAACUUUACCUUGAAUAAAAUAGAGUGUUUCAAGCAGGCGUUUAACGCUUUUUGAAUACACCAGCAUGGGAUAAAACCUAUACUGAGAGGGGGUCAAGCCCAGCGGGGGGUGAGGGAAAAAUAUGGGAUGAGGCGUCGGCCAUGAGAAUGAAAACGACCUGGUGGUUCCCGAAGGGUUUCUUUUUCGGUCAUCCUUGGGGGUCUGAGAGUUCGCGGGUGUGGUUCAGAUCAGUCGGUGGUCACACUGAUUGGGAGGGAUCACAACCGUGGGCGAGAUUUCACAUCAGGAAUUCCGUGGUCGAUGAGUGGUCCCAUAUUUGAUAAAGAUUCUUCAUCCAUCGAGGGGAAAUUGGCACAUCCUCAAACUUAUUCAACCUAAUCACAAUAGGGACAAUCGGGGUGGUUUAUAUUUCCAUGUUAGAGGUGAAAUUCUAUGAUUAUGGAGAGAUAAACUAAAGCGAAAGCAUUCCACAAGAGUGUUUUCAUUGAUCAAGAACGACAGUUGGGGGAUCGAAGACGAUCAGACACCGUCGUAGUCUCAACAAUAAACGAUGCCGACCAGAGAUUGGGAGACGCUUUCCGGGCUUCAUUGCUCGGAAGCAAGGCUCACCCAGGAACUUUGAGAGAAAUCAAUGAGUGUUUGGGCUUCGGGGGGAGUAUGGUCGCAAGGCUGAAACUUAAAGGAAUUGACGGAAGAGCACACAAGAAGUGGAGCCUGCGGCUUAAUUUGACUCAACACGGGGAACCUCACCAGGUCCGGACAGUGGAAGGAUUGACAGAUUGAGAGCUCUUUCUUGAUUCAUUGGGUGGUGGUGCAUGGCCGUUCUUAGUUCGUGGUGCAAAUUGUCUGUGUCAAUUCCGUUAACGAACGAGACCUUAACCUACUAAAUAAUGUUAGGUGAAGUUCGAAAGGAGGGGGAUGGUUGGGGGCAACUCCAAUUUUCACUCUCUGGGCUUCAUUUAAAAAAUAUGGGUCGAAUCGGUUGCAGCAAUGUGAUCGAAGCUCGGUUCAUAUACUAACUUCUUAGAGGGACUAUUCACGUUCCAGUGGAUGGAAGAUUGAGGCAAUAACAGGUCUGUGAUGCCCUUCGAUGUCCUGGGCUGCACGCGCGCUACACUGAUAGAGUGAAAGAGUAUAAAGCGCAUUGUCGCUGGGGUCAAACCCGGUGGCAAUAUAAAACGCUUUUCCAGGGCCGACAGGCACCGGGAAAUCUUGAGAAACUCUAUCGUGCUGGGGAUAGACCAUUGCAAUUAUUGGUCUUGAACGAGGAAUUCCUCGUAAGCGCUGGUCAUCAGCCAGCGUUGAUUACGUCCCUGCUUUUUGUCCACACCGCCCGUCGCUCCUACCGAUUGGAUGGUCCGGUGAAGAUAACGGAUGCAUUUGAACCUUGGGGUGGCAACAUUCUGGGGUUGUAUAAUCAGAUGUUAUCUUAACCUUAUUAUCUAGAGGAAGGAGAAGUCGUAACAAGGUAACCGUAGGUGAACCUGCAGAAGGAUCA